rnacentral:rRNA from 1 species
ACGAACGCUGGCGGCAUGCCUAACACAUGCCAGUCGAACGCGACCUUCGGGUCUAGUGGCGCACGGGUGCGUAACGCGUGGGAACCUGCCCUUAGGUUCGGAAUAACUCCCCGAAAGGGGUGCUAAUACCGGAUAAUGUCUUCGGACCAAAGAUUUAUCGCCUUUGGAUGGGCCCGCGUUGGAUUAGCUAGUUGGUAGGGUAAAAGCCUACCAAGGCGACGAUCCAUAGCUGGUCUGAGAGGAUGAUCAGCCACACUGGGACUGAGACACGGCCCAGACUCCUACGGGAGGCAGCAGUGGGGAAUAUUGGGCAAUGGGCGAAAGCCUGAUCCAGCAAUGCCGCGUGAGUGAUGAAGGCCUUAGGGUUGUAAAGCUCUUUUACCCGGGAUGAUAAUGACAGUACCGGGAGAAUAAGCUCCGGCUAACUCCGUG